UGUUACAUCUGAUACCUGGGAGAUAACUGAUCCAUGAUUUGGAAAUCACAAAAGAGACAAUAAUAUUUAGAUUUGGGAACCAUCAAUGUGUAUGUGGUAAUCAAUAACAUAAGGGUGGAUGAAAGCACUCAAAGUAGAAUACAGAAAGAGUAUUGGACUGCAAGCAGAACCCUGGAAUGCCAACACUAAGAUAUGUGCAAGAAGGAACUGUCAGAAAGCAGAAAGAAAUAGUUUUAGAGUUCAGAAACCUGAGAAAGGACAAAUUUCAAGGGAUGAAAAAUAAGUAAAGCCAGGCAUGGUGGCGUGUGCCUGUUAUCUCAGCUACUUGGGAGGCUGAGGCAGAAGGAUCACUUGAUCCCAGGAGUUCUGGGCUGUAGUGCGCUAUGCUGGCUGCCCAUGCUAAGUCUGGCAUCAAUAUGGUGAUUUCCUGCAAGUGGGGACCACCUGGUUGCCUCAGGAGGGGUGAACUGGCCCAGGUCAGAAACGGAGCAGGUCAAAACUCCCACGCUGAAGUGGGAUUGCAUCUGUGAAUAGCCAGUGCACUCCAGCCUGGACAACACCUCAUCUCUUAAAAAAAAAAUAAGUCAAAUGUAGCAGGAAAGUUGCAUGAGAUAACAGCUCAAAAGUGUUCAUUUGGCGGUGACUGACGUCUGAGAGCAAUUUCAUGGGAAUGGUAGAAAUUGAAGCUAGAUUUGAGAGAAUGAAGCAGUGGAUGGGAGAUGGGGAAUGUGGGCUGAUUUUUAAAAUACGUUUCAUUGAGAAGGGAUGAUAAGAGAAAGGGGAGCGGUGAAGGAGGUAAUACGCAGGGGAAGAGGGCAUGACAAUGUGAGGUCACAUUGCCAUAAAUGUGAGGUGUGUCAUAAAUGUGAGGUGUUGGAAAGAGAUGGAGGAUAAUAGAAAUAACCCAGUCCAAGAGAAAAAGAAAUGAGUGGGAUUAAGAGGACUCAUAGGUGAACUGGCUUGGACAGGAAGGGGACACUUAUUUUCUGAAUGGUGAAAGUAAGUAUGUAGGUGUCAGGUUCACGACUGUGCCAAAUGCCCAGCUUGGGGUCAGAUUCCAACCCAUGCUGAGGUCUGAAGGGAGUGGGUGGAUGAGCAGAUAGCUGAAAGAACACUUGGGGUCUUAAGCAGGUGAAAUGUAGUUUUAUUCAGCAGCUCUCUCAUCAGCAGCUUACUCACACUAGCUCUUUCAUAUUGCCCGCCUUGUCUUGGCUGUCUGCUCUGGCUCAGAGGCCGGCUCCCACCCACCGCUGCACGGCCGGCUCUCCCCUGCCUUCAGGGUCAGCAGUUUUCUUUCUCUGGUCACGAGCUGAGCUGGGCUGUGCCCUGGCUCCCCCCGUCCGUCUGCAAAAUGGACAGCUUUGGCUCUCUUUCUCUGGGUGCCAGCUCAAGCACAUGGACAGUGUCAGCAGGGCAAUUAUACCUUUAUCAGACAAUAGUGGCUUAGAGCCAAGUGGUGGCCUUCCCAUAUUAUGGCUACAUGCCUAUGAUAACAAGUGGAGUUAUACACCUGUGCUCUAAACUCGCUGAGUCACACAAAAUGUAAACAUCCUACCUCAGCCUAUCCUUGACCAAAGCACAGCCAUGUUCCUUACAGUAGGCAAAUUCAUAGAGGUGUAGGGACAGCAGGAAAUGGAGGUAGUUCAUGUUCAAGGACCUCAGUUUUCUUACUGAAGUAGGAGCAAGGUCAAGGGGAAUGAUAAGGUGGGCAUUGAUAGGAGGCAUAAUCAGAAGGCUUUGGGGCUGAACCUCACCAAGAACACAUACGAGGGUCAUCAAGUUGUGACAUGAUCUUUAGAAGCAACAUUGUUUACAUGGUAGCAUUGUCAUGCACCAGCAUCCAGGAGCCCAGGGUGUGAGAGCAGUGGAGGCAGAUUGUAGGAGUGCUAGCGUUGGGGCAUUAAGAGCAACCAUGACAGAAAGACAGGGUUGUGAGAGAUUUGUGGGAAUUGUUGAGAAGUGGCCCAGGUGCCUUAUGGUCUGCACUAAAUAAGGAAGUACAGGGGCCAGAAAAGGGCCAAUCGUGGGAAAAAAUGAAGGGGCAGAAAACGAAGGAAUUAGAGUCGUAGCAGGCUUAGUGGGAGGAAAGGCAGGACAAAUUCUUACAUCUCCUCUUAAACCUGCCCCAAUCUGGCUUCCAUUUCAGCUUCUGCCAUGAAGCUGCUCUGGUCAAAAUCAUCCACCUCUCCUGUUGUUAAAUCCUAAAACACUUGCCUAUACUCAACUUACUCAACCUAGCAGCAUCAUUCAAUACAGCUGCUCACUCCCUCCUUGUAAACACGUUCAUGUUACCUCUGUAAAAUCGGAGUCCACUCUUUCUUCUCUAUGACUACCUACCUGCCCCAUCUUGGUCAUCUUUUUGAAUCUUCUUUGAUACCUCUAUGGUCACUAGACCUUGGGAUGCACCAAGGCUUAAUCCUGGACUUUCUAUUCCUUGACAACUCCCUUUCCCUACAUUAUCAUUCAGAGCAAGGCGUUAGGGAUUCUUUGCAUACUCAUACCCUUACAUUUUAGUGCAGCACAAAUUAUUAAUACUUCCCUGGGCUAUAAAUUCUUGUAUCCAAUUGCCUACCUGACAUCUCUACUUCAGCGUAGAGAAGGACCUGUCCAGAACAGAACUCCAUUUCCAACCUCCAUGUGUUCCUAACAGUAGU
rnacentral:lncRNA from 10 species